GACGAACGCUGGCGGCGUGCUUAACACAUGCAAGUCGAGCGAGUGGAUUCCCUUCGGGGAUGAAGCUAGCGGCGGACGGGUGAGUAACACGUGGGCAACCUGCCUUAUAGAGGGGGAUAGCCUUCCGAAAGGAAGAUUAAUACCGCAUAACAUCAGCUUAUCGCAUGGUAGACUGAUCAAAGGAGCAAUCCGCUAUAAGAUGGGCCCGCGUCGCAUUAGCGAGUUGGCGAGGUAACGGCUCACCAAGGCGACGAUGCGUAGCCGACCUGAGAGGGUGAUCGGCCACAUUGGGACUGAGACACGGCCCAGACUCCUACGGGAGGCAGCAGUGGGGAAUAUUGCACAAUGGGGGAAACCCUGAUGCAGCAACGCCGCGUGAGUGAUGAAGGCCUUCGGGUUGUAAAGCUCUUUGAUCAGGGACGAUAAUGACGGUACCUGAAGAACAAGCCACGGCUAACUACGUGCCAGCCGCCGCAGUAAGAC
rnacentral:rRNA from 1 species